GUAGUAUGAAGCUGCAGACUCGGAGACCUGCAUCUACAGUCCCCCUGCACCCAGAGUCCCGCAUUCUCAGACCCCUCGCUUUUCGAGACAGCGCCUCCUAUCAAAUUGUAUCGGAUAAACAUGUGAAGAACAUGUGAAGAACUUAAGCCAAAACGUGAGUAGGCUAUCUUCAAUUUUAUUUAGCGAAUCGUAGUAGCCUACUCGUUUGAUUUAUUUUUUAAUAAAACUAAUUUAGCUCAUCGAUACAACAUAUGAAUAGUCCAUUUAAUAUUUGUAAAGAUAGUUUGUAACAGGAUUUGAGCCGUUAAUGUAUGUUUUUCACCCUCUUCCCCCCGAAAAUAUUUUGAUAGCUAACGUUAGCCUUUAACCUUGGACUUUUUGUAGAUAUGUCAUAAAUGCUGCAGUUAUUUUCACUGCCCAUUUUGUGCCCCCUCAUAUUUCAAACCCACAAAGUUGUCCAAAUUUCAAAAACAUCUCAAGGGACACUUCAACAGAGCAGUGCAACAUGAAGGUAACAUUUGCAAACAUAUUUUUUUUUUUUUUUUUUUUUUUUUUGAAACAUCAUAAGACAUGUGCUAUCGGGCCUAUACUGUUGUAGGCUAUUCCAGGGUACACCAUACAUCGAUGGAGUCGCCCCUGCCGAACCCAGCAACAUAUCAUUUUAUGAUUAUGCAAAGCGACUUAUAAAUUAGUUUUUUUUAAUGCAAUUGAAGACGAAAAGUAAAAUGAUGUUUAGGUGAUCAUUAAAUAAAGUACAGAAUUGUU